rnacentral:rRNA from 1 species
GUGCCAGCAGCCGCGGUAAUACGUAGGGGGCGAGCGUUGUCCGGAGUUACUGGGCGUAAAGGGCAUGCAGGCGGUCGGACGCGUUUGGUGUGACAGCGGAUGGCUUACCUAUCCGAGCAUACGAAAGACGGUUUGACUUGAGGACUCGAGAGGGACACGGAAUUCCGGGUGGAGUGGUGAAAUGCGUAGAGAUCCGGAGGAACACCGAAGGCGAAGGCAGUGUCCUGGCGAGUGACUGACGCUGAGGUGCGAAAGCCAGGGGAGCGAACGGGAUUAGAUACCCCGGUAGUCC